rnacentral:rRNA from 1 species
GAUGAACGCUGGCGGCGUGCUUAACACAUGCAAGUCGAGCGGACACACCAGAAACUCUCGCUUCUGAUGUUAGCGGCGGGCGGGCGAGUAAGACGUGCGUAACCUACCUAUAAGACUGUGAGAACUUCGGCAAACCGUAGCUAACACCGGAUAAUAGUUUUAACCGCAUGGCUCAAAAGUGCAAGACGAUCUUGCUUUCACUUAUAGAGGGGUCCGCGCUGCAUUAGCUAGUUGGUCGGGUAAGGGCUCACCAAGGCAACGAUGCAUAGCCGACGUGAGAGGGUGGUAAGCCCCACUACAACUGAGCCACGGUCCAGACCCAUACGCGAGGCGGCGGUGGGGAAUCUUACACAAUGCGAGAAGGCCUGGCCGGACACCGCCAAGUGAGUGAUGAGGGUCUUCGGCUAGUAAAUCUCUGUUAUUUGUAAAGAACAUUUGUGUAAGUAACUGUGCACACCUUGACGGUACCUAAUCAGAAAGCACCGGCUAACUCCGUG